UGGGUCGUUAGCUCAGUUGGUAGAGCAGCUGACUCUUAAUCAGCGGGUCAUGGGUUCGAGCCCCUUACGACCCAUC
rnacentral:tRNA from 1 species